rnacentral:lncRNA from 1 species
CUGGACCCACUGCUUUUUCAUCUUUUUUUAUCUUUUCUCUUUCUCAAUCGUGUUAUCUUUUUCAGAUCUUGUUUCUUUUUCAGUUGACUAAUUUCAUAAGAUAAAAACACAAUUCUUCAAGAACUUCCAUGGUGCAUCAGGUCAUCUAUGUCACAGCUUCUCUUCAUCGUGAAGGACUGGCUCUGCUCGUCUGUGACCCUGAUGAACCUCAACGAACCUUAAUUGCGUUUCAUCUUCUCCUUCGCCAUGGAUCAACACGACCAAGCUUCCUCUUCUACGUCGUGCUCUGCAACUCAUCCACCUCGCACUAUGACAGUAAUUAAGAAAGAAGCAAGAUUUACGUUUUUGUUGUAGAAAAAAAUAAUUUAGAACUUGAAAUCGUAUCUUAUAUGAUAUUUCUACAAGUUUAAAAGUAUAAUAAGCAAGAAAAAUGAAAAAAAAAAACUGAUGAUUAAGGUGAGAAUAAUGGCUGGCGGCCACAUAAAGAAAUUGCAUAAAACCUUAAUUGAUUUUGGGAAAGAUGAAGUUGGAAUUACGAAAAUGCCACUCAUUAAAAAAUGAAAAAAUAAAUGAUUCAUAUGUACAUGAUAUGUAGUACAUACAAUUACAAUAUCCGUACAAUUGCAAUAUCCA